UGGUUGCGGACUUGAAGGGAACGCCUUCCUGACAUCCAGGAAAAAGUUUUAUUGGACAGUAGAGAUCUACUGGAAACAGUGGAGAGGGAGGAGAUGAUAUGCAGCAAAAGGCCGAGCCGGGUGGUUGCUGCUCCGUGUGGAACGUGUUCUAUCAGGUGUAACAUCUACCAAUGGUUGUACAUGACACCACCUCUUUGCUGUCCUACUAGUCAA